AAAAUUAUAGAUUCUGCCUAUAAAUGCAGUAUCUCCAAAAGUGAUCCCUGAAAUCAUGAUGAUGGCCGUUCUGCGUGUUCAAAGGUUACCAAUAUGAUUCACAAAAUUUAUGCAUGUUAUGAAUCUACCUGGAGAAUUUACUGUUCUUGGUAUUUGAAUGUGAAUCAAUAUCACCAAAGCACGAUGCCUCUUAACUUUUUCCCUUGAUAGCUAUAUUACAUUCUGAAAUUCAACGGAUAAAUACUCAAUGAUUAAGGUGGGGUAGAAAAGUUUCUCAAAAAUUUUCUUUUGACUGUUUGACAACCUCUAUUUAUAUUGAACUGUGGAUAUUUGUCUCAUAAUGGUUAGUUCACGGAAACUUUUUGCUAUAGCCAUUCUUCUUCUUAAAUGCGUUUUUUUGUUUUUUAGCUAUAAAAGUUAAUGCACAUCUCCAGACUCAGAUUAUUAUGAAGCUCACAAUUUUUUUUUUUUUUUUUAAAUAAAAAAUUCACCGAAUUUUCUUAAUGGAUGAAAAGCAAAGAAUACUUAGUUGUAGAGCAAGACUUGUGAAGAAGUGGAGCUUGCUAAAGUGAUGGGGGCUAUAAAAGCUAUAUCUCGGGUAGAAACAAGUUAAACCGAAUACCUAAGUAUUCUAGAUCGGUUUUAGUUUAGUAUUCCUGAGUCUAACUUUGUGCUAAAAAAUAUGUUGAAACACUCCAUUCUACUCAGGGCUUGAUUGAGUUUCCUCAAGCUUUAGCUUGAUCUCACACCUUGAUUUUUUUUGAAAUACAAAGAUUUGACGUCUUGAUUUUGCAUGCAUAGGAUAGAAAUCAAGCUCGACCUGAAAAUCAAACGUAUAAUUGCUUGGUAAUUAUGAAAAAUCUGUAUGUAUAAUUGUGCUGCAUUAUUAAUGUCAAUACAUAAAACAAUAUAUAGAACAUCUAGUUAGGUUUUUAUAUUUAAAAUUAACAUGUUUAUGAACUUUUGAUCCGAGUAUUUAUGGCAGGAAUAAUCUUUGAUCAUAAAUGACAAUUAAGCUCAAGCUUAAUUGAAAUAUUGUCAAACUGAGCUUGAGCCGAGUUUGAUUGAACUAUUAAUUGAACUCAAGCAUGGCUUGGUGCCAGUCCUACUCUAUAUAUAAAGUAUUUGCCUGAGGCAUUGUGAUAUUAAGGGGAAAUAGUUCUCUCCGCAUUUGGUCAUUAAUGCAUUUUCCUCGCAUUACCUUAAUCAUAAUAUUAAUUGUUCUUCCAGAGUAUCGGGAGCCUGUGAAAAUAUAAAUAUUUUUUGUAGCUGUGGUGAUUCAGAGUCUCAGUCAUGCCUAUACGAGGAAUCUCUUCCUGGCUUGAAAAGUGUCCCUGGUUUGAAAAGAAAGCUGCCAGCUCUUGAAGAUGAUGAGAUGGAGUUUUCUGAAACCAUUAAUUCCCCACUGAAUUCAAAAA